UCGUCGAUUCGGAGGCACUUGAUCUUCAAUCAGGUCUUAUCUACGAAGAAUACCCAAUUGCCAUUCUUGAUCAUGAUAAAAGAAAGGUGAAGCGUAGCAUGGUGAAGUUUGUCAAAGUUUAAUGGAGUAAUCAUCCUGAAGAUGAAGCCACAUGGGAACGUGAGGAUUGCUUAUGUCGAGAAUACCCUGAUUUCUUUUCCGAGGGGUGAGUUUUCACUCUGUCACCACACCCAUGUUCUUGUACCUCAAUUCUUGGAUGUGUAACUUGUCUAGGUGAAUAUGGUCUCAAUCUAGUCCAAGUUUUAUCCUUCCCCUCUUGUCUACCUAAAUCUCGGGACGAGAUUUUCUUAACGGGGGGAGAGUUGUCACGACCCCAAAUUUUAAGGCCUGGACGGUCCGGUGUGAGGCCUGGACAGUCCGGUAGCUCUUCUGUUCUAGCGUGCCGCGCGAGGCCACGCGCCAGCCAUCCCCGGUAUGCGUGUGUCGGGCAUCGCCGCCAGCCAUCCUCGGUUAAUGCGUCCUUAUCCGCAGUUGUCGUCGCCGGCCUUAUCCCCUCUGAGCUGCCGUAUUCCCCUUCUACUUCUCCCCCUUCCUCGAGCUCGAGCCGAGCAAUGGCACAGCCGGCGCCACGACCAUCUCCGUCGCACCUCGCUCCGAUUCCGCACGCCAGAGCCUGCUCCGCCUUGUCCUCCACCUCUGCCGUGCUUCCCCAAGUCCGGCCGAGCCCCACCCUAACCGGAAUCGAUCCCGCACCGGCCGGCCGCCAUUGGAAGCCGUCGCGAGGAGCUCCGUUGCCGCCGCCGAUUCGCCGCCCAUGGCUUCCCGGCGAGCACCUCCACCCGUCAUCGUCUCUGCUCGCUGUGGCGCCUCCCUGUUGCGCCGUUCCUUCGUCUGAGCUUUGGUGACUGAACCGUCGGAGAACGAACCCGUUGAGCCUGCCGAGUCCGUCGAGCCUGAACCCGGAAUCCCGUUCAUGGUCGAGCCCGAAGUUAACCCAGGCAAGCAGCUAAGCAUGAUUCUUUACUCCUAUUUAAUCUGAGUUAGUUAGUUACAUCACCGGGUAAUAUGGGGUUAUAUAGUAUGUAUGUAUUGCAUUUUGAUACCUAUUCUCUUGCAUUACCCUUCCUUGAAUUGUUAUCCAUGUCCUUGUCACUUGUUAGUCAGUUAAUAACUUAAUCUGAUUAGAUGCUUAGCCCUGCUUAGAAUACUCAUAUUGCUUGCUCGAAAGGAAUGGUUUGGAGUAUCACACUUACCUGAUUAUCCUUGAGUGCACUUGAGUAUCUGGGACAAGUGGAGUGCAGUAUCGAGAUUCGAGCGGAA